rnacentral:rRNA from 1 species
UAUUCACCCUUGUCUUUUGCGUACUUCUUGUUUCCUUGGUGGGUUCGCCCACCACUAGGACAAACAUAAACCUUUUGUAAUUGCAAUCAGCGUCAGUAACAAAUUAAUAAUUACAACUUUCAACAACGGAUCUCUUGGUUCUGGCAUCGAUGAAGAACGCAGCGAAAUGCGAUAAGUAGUGUGAAUUGCAGAAUUCAGUGAAUCAUCGAAUCUUUGAACGCACAUUGCGCCCUUUGGUAUUCCAAAGGGCAUGCCUGUUCGAGCGUCAUUUGUACCCUCAAGCUUUGCUUGGUGUUGGGCGUCUUGUCUCUAGCUUUGCUGGAGACUCGCCUUAAAGUAAUUGGCAGCCGGCCUACUGGUUUCGGAGCGCAGCACAAGUCGCACUCUCUAUCAGCAAAGGUCUAGCAUCCAUUAAGCCUUUUUUUCAACUUUUGACCUCGGAUCAGGUAGGGAUACCCGCUGAACUUAAGCAUAUC